UGCUCCUUGUGCUUAUUGUGCCAUCCUUUCCCCCUUGUGCUUUGUUUUCUUUCGCAUCGAGGACGAUGUAUCCUUUAAGUUUAAGUGUGGGGGAAACACAAAAAAUUG